UCUUUGCGGCCUUGUGACGUCGCCCCUCGCAGGGACUGUUGCCUGUGGGUACAACAAGGUUGCAGAAAUCAACUCAAAGAAUGAAAAGGCGUGACUUCUGGAGGCUCAGGAGCUUCACGUGCGAUCUUCCUUGGACAGACCCCUGCUUUCCACGGUGGUGAUGGUCUUGCUCUGUAGCCAUCACCUUUCUUGAAGCAGGUAGAGUAAAACCUGGCAGCCAGAUAUUGUUUGAAGCAGGGGAAGCUCUUCCUGUCAGACACUUUCAGCUGUCACAGUC
rnacentral:snoRNA from 1 species